AGAAGGUUUUUUCAUCCACUCCAGUGCCAAUAGGUGCUGAUGCCUUUAAUCAAUUCUCAGCUAGUGACUUUUCAAAGAAGGGCUCAGGCAAUGGUGACAAGAUAGAAUAUAUAGAAAUUACUGAAGAAGAGAUGGAGAUGUAUUUAGAUUUGCAUCCUUUCACUAAUGCUUCACCUUAUACUGUUGUGGAGACAAUGUCACUAGCUAAGGCUCGCGUGCUAUUUCGAGAACUUGGUUUGAGGCACCUGCUUGUGAUACCCAAGAUCUCUAGUAGAUCUCCUGUUGUGGGUAUAUUGACGAGGCAUGACUUCAUGCCAGAACAUAUACUGGG
rnacentral:misc_RNA from 1 species